rnacentral:rRNA from 1 species
UACGUAGGGUGCGAGCGUUGUCCGGAAUUAUUGGGCGUAAAGGGCUCGUAGGCGGUUUGUCGCGUCGGGAGUGAAAACGCCGUGCUUAACACGGCGCUUGCUUUCGAUACGGGCAGACUAGAGGUAUUCAGGGGAGAACGGAAUUCCUGGUGUAGCGGUGAAAUGACGCAGAUAUCAGGAGGAACACCGGUGGCGAAGGCGGUUCUCUGGGAAUGACCUGACGCUGAGGAGCGAAAGUGUGGGGAGCGAACAGG